CUUUGGGGAGCUGUAAGUAAGCUUUGAUCCAGAGAUUUCCGAAUGGGGAAACCCAGCAUGAGUUAUGUCAUGUUAUCGAUAUGUGAAUACAUAGCAUAUCAGAAGGUACACCCGGAGAACUGAAACAUCUUAGUACCCGGAGGAAGAGAAAGAAAAUUCGAUUCCCUUAGUAGCGGCGAGCGAAACGGGAAGAGCCCAAACCAACAAGCUUGCUUGUUGGGGUUGUAGGACACUCUAUACGGAGUUACAAAGGACGACAUUAGACGAAUCAUCUGGAAAGAUGAAUCAAAGAAGGUAAUAAUCCUGUAGUCGAAAAUGUUGUCUCUCUUGAGUGGAUCCUGAGUACGACGGAGCACGUGAAAUUCCGUCGGAAUCUGGGAGGACCAUCUCCUAAGGCUAAAUACUCUCUAGUGACCGAUAGUGAACCAGUACCGUGAGGGAAAGGUGAAAAGCACCCCGGAAGGGGAGUGAAAUAGAACCUGAAACCGUGUGCUUACAAGUAGUCAGAGCCCGUUAAUGGGUGAUGGCGUGCCUUUUGUAGAAUGAACCGGCGAGUUACGAUUUGAUGCAAGGUUAAGCAGUAAAUGUGGAGCCGUAGCGAAAGCGAGUCUGAAUAGGGCGUUUAGUAUUUGGUCGUAGACCCGAAACCAGGUGAUCUACCCUUGGUCAGGUUGAAGUUCAGGUAACACUGAAUGGAGGACCGAACCGACUUACGUUGAAAAGUGAGCGGAUGAACUGAGGGUAGCGGAGAAAUUCCAAUCGAACCUGGAGAUAGCUGGUUCUCUCCGAAAUAGCUUUAGGGCUAGCCUCAAGUGAUGAUUAUUGGAGGUAGAGCACUGUUUGGACGAGGGGCCCCUCUCGGGUUACCGAAUUCAGACAAACUCCGAAUGCCAAUUAAUUUAACUUGGGAGUCAGAACAUGGGUGAUAAGGUCCGUGUUCGAAAGGGAAACAGCCCAGACCACCAGCUAAGGUCCCAAAAUAUAUGUUAAGUGGAAAAGGAUGUGGCGUUGCCCAGACAACUAGGAUGUUGGCUUAGAAGCAGCCAUCAUUUAAAGAGUGCGUAAUAGCUCACUAGUCGAGUGACACUGCGCCGAAAAUGUACCGGGGCUAAACAUAUUACCGAAGCUGUGGAUUGUCCUUUGGACAAUGGUAGGAGAGCGUUCUAAGGGCGUUGAAGCAUGAUCGUAAGGACAUGUGGAGCGCUUAGAAGUGAGAAUGCCGGUGUGAGUAGCGAAAGACGGGUGAGAAUCCCGUCCACCGAUUGACUAAGGUUUCCAGAGGAAGGCUCGUCCGCUCUGGGUUAGUCGGGUCCUAAGCUGAGGCCGACAGGCGUAGGCGAUGGAUAACAGGUUGAUAUUCCUGUACCACCUAUAAUCGUUUUAAUCGAUGGGGGGACGCAGUAGGAUAGGCGAAGCGUGCGAUUGGAUUGCACGUCUAAGCAGUAAGGCUGAGUAUUAGGCAAAUCCGGUACUCGUUAAGGCUGAGCUGUGAUGGGGAGAAGACAUUGAGUCUUCGAGUCGUUGAUUUCACACUGCCGAGAAAAGCCUCUAGAUAGAAAAUAGGUGCCCGUACCGCAAACCGACACAGGUAGUCAAGAUGAGAAUUCUAAGGUGAGCGAGCGAACUCUCGUUAAGGAACUCGGCAAAAUGACCCCGUAACUUCGGGAGAAGGGGUGCUCUUUAGGGUUAACGCCCAGAAGAGCCGCAGUGAAUAGGCCCAAGCGACUGUUUAUCAAAAACACAGGUCUCUGCUAAACCGUAAGGUGAUGUAUAGGGGCUGACGCCUGCCCGGUGCUGGAAGGUUAAGAGGAGUGGUUAGCUUCUGCGAAGCUACGAAUCGAAGCCCCAGUAAACGGCGGCCGUAACUAUAACGGUCCUAAGGUAGCGAAAUUCCUUGUCGGGUAAGUUCCGACCCGCACGAAAGGCGUAACGAUUUGGGCACUGUCUCAACGAGAGACUCGGUGAAAUCAUAGUACCUGUGAAGAUGCAGGUUACCCGCGACAGGACGGAAAGACCCCGUGGAGCUUUACUGUAGCCUGAUAUUGAAAUUCGGCACAGCUUGUACAGGAUAGGUAGGAGCCUUUGAAACGUGAGCGCUAGCUUACGUGGAGGCGCUGGUGGGAUACUACCCUAGCUGUGUUGGCUUUCUAACCCGCACCACUUAUCGUGGUGGGAGACAGUGUCAGGCGGGCAGUUUGACUGGGGCGGUCGCCUCCUAAAAGGUAACGGAGGCGCUCAAAGGUUCCCUCAGAAUGGUUGGAAAUCAUUCAUAGAGUGUAAAGGCAUAAGGGAGCUUGACUGCGAGACCUACAAGUCGAGCAGGGUCGAAAGACGGACUUAGUGAUCCGGUGGUUCCGCAUGGAAGGGCCAUCGCUCAACGGAUAAAAGCUACCCCGGGGAUAACAGGCUUAUCUCCCCCAAGAGUUCACAUCGACGGGGAGGUUUGGCACCUCGAUGUCGGCUCAUCGCAUCCUGGGGCUGUAGUCGGUCCCAAGGGUUGGGCUGUUCGCCCAUUAAAGCGGUACGCGAGCUGGGUUCAGAACGUCGUGAGACAGUUCGGUCCCUAUCCGUCGUGGGCGUAGGAAAUUUGAGAGGAGCUGUCCUUAGUACGAGAGGACCGGGAUGGACAUACCUCUGGUGUACCAGUUGUCGUGCCAACGGCAUAGCUGGGUAGCUAUGUGUGGACGGGAUAAGUGCUGAAAGCAUCUAAGCAUGAAGCCCCCCUCAAGAUGAGAUUUCCCAACUUCGGUUAUAAGAUCCCUCAAAGAUGAUGAGGUUAAUAGGUUCGAGGUGGAAGCAUGGUGACAUGUGGAGCUGACGAAUACUAAUCGAUCGAAGACUUAAUCAA
rnacentral:rRNA from 1 species